UACGUAGGAGGCGAGCGUUGUCCGGAAUCACUGGGUGUAAAGCGCGUGUAGGCGGCCUGCCAAGUCUGCUGUGAAAGCGCCUGGCUUAACCGGGCGAGGUCGGUGGAAACUGGCGGGCUGGAGGCCGGUAGAGGGGGGUGGAAUUCCCGGUGUAGUGGUGAAAUGCGUAGAGAUCGGGAGGAACACCAGUGGCGAAGGCGGCCCCCUGGGCCGCGCCUGACGCUGAGACGCGAAAGCGUGGGGAGCGAACAGG
rnacentral:rRNA from 1 species